GUAAUCAAUCGCUCCCUGCAACUUGUGAAGGUCUUGUCUAUAAGGCAUCUAGAAGUGACGUUGACCGGGUUUCAGCGACGGAGCUGGUCUCAUCAGGAAGAUGCUGGCUAAGAAGACUGGAGAGAUGUGCACAUGCUGAUGGCUACACGGGGACGUGACUCCGGACCGGGGUGAAGGAACCUCCGAGAACAGCUUCCUCUGGAUCAGAGGUUUCUCAAGGUCACCAGGAAGCUCGUCUACCAGCGUGCCGUGGUGUACCACAAGACUGCUCAGACGUGAAGUCCGCCUAGCUCGCACUCCCCGCUGAGCCUAAGCUGGCCUUCAUCAUCAUGAUCCCAUGUCUUUCAAGGUGACCAGGAAGCUCGUCUAGAAGCCUGCUGGGCGUACCAGGGGGUACAGGACUGAUCCACCUCCGCUAAGGCCACCCUGGCCGUGGUCAUUGGGGUCCGAGGGGAGGGAGUAACGUCUGCCAUGCCCCUACCGCCCUCAGUGGGAAACGUCCUGGUCCCCGCCGAGCCUUCGUCAGCAGGAUCCCAGGACUCUCAAGAUGACCAGAGAAUCGUCUACAAACGUGCCGAGGUGUACCACAGAGUACAGGACUCAGUUCAGACGUGAAGUUGGCCUUCAUCAGGAUCACAGGAAUGGCUGAAGACUGGCCAGAUCCUUCAACAGGCUCCCAGCUGGGCGAGCCCCAUGCAUCAUCAUCCUCUGGACUGCAUUUAGGGAAGCGACGGAAUCGUCUGCAUGAGGGCUCAUCAUGCUAGUGAGAUGUAGCUCACAGAUGCACUUCAGACGAGCAGGCCUACUCCAGCAGUACUCGUCCCCUACUCCUGUCCCAUUAUGGCUCCUAGUCGCAUGUUAAUGAUGCACUUGUUGUUCCCCAUCUUAUCGACUGGUGAAACCCAAGCUGAAAAUAAGACAAUUUAGUCUGAAACCACAUCCUGGACUUGAGUCUCAUUGAUUGUUAUUGUGAAUCCGGAUCCUGUUUCAAAAGCAAAACAUAUAAAUCACUUUAUAUGUUGUGACUAGUAUUUAUUUUUUUAUCCUAAAUGAUUUUUGCUCCCUUUCCGGUUAUGUGUGAUUUCAACUGAGAAAUAAAAACAACAAAAACUAA
ensembl:lncRNA